UACGGAGAGGGCUAGCGUUAUUCGGAAUUAUUGGGCGUAAAGGGCGCGUAGGCUGAUUAAUAAGUUAAAAGUGAAAUCCCGAGGCUUAACCUUGGAAUUGCUUUUAAAACUAUUAAUCUAGAGAUUGAAAGAGGAUAGAGGAAUUCCUGAUGUAGAGGUAAAAUUCGUAAAUAUUAGGAGGAACACCAGUGGCGAAGGCGUCUAUCUGGUUCAAAUCUGACGCUGAGGCGCGAAGGCGUGGGGAGCAAACAGGAUUAGAACCCCUGUAGUCC
rnacentral:rRNA from 1 species